GAUGAACGCUAGCGGCAGGCCUAACACAUGCAAGUCGAGGGGUAACAGGGAGUAGCUUGCUACUUUGCUGACGACCGGCGCACGGGUGCGUAACGCGUAUAGAAUCUACCUUUUGCUGAGGGAUAGCCUUUGGAAACGAAGAUUAAUACCUCAUGGUAUGAUGACUUGGCAUCGAGUUAUCAUUAAAGGUUACGGCAAAAGAUGACUAUGCGUCCUAUUAGCUAGAUGGUGUGGUAACGGCACACCAUGGCAACGAUAGGUAGGGGCCCUGAGAGGGGGAUCCCCCACACUGGUACUGAGACACGGACCAG
rnacentral:rRNA from 1 species